rnacentral:rRNA from 1 species
ACGUAGGGUGCGAGCGUUAAUCGGAAUUACUGGGCGUAAAGCGUGCGCAGGCGGUUGUGCAAGACAGAUGUGAAAUCCCCGGGCUCAACCUGGGAACUGCAUUUGUGACUGCACGACUGGAGUGCGGCAGAGGGGGGUGGAAUUCCACGUGUAGCAGUGAAAUGCGUAGAGAUGUGGAGGAACACCGAUGGCGAAGGCAGCCCCCUGGGACAUGACUGACGCUCAGGUACGAAAGCGUGGGGAGCAAACAG